UAGAAAUGCAAGUUCGAGCGGGGNAGUAGCAAUACUUCUAGCCGGCGGAACGGUCGCGUAACNCCUUUANCAACCUGCCCCGAAGACCGGGACAACACCGUCGAAAGGGGUGCNUAAUACCGGAUGUGGCCACCACUUCACAUGGAGAGGUGAUUAAAUCGAGCAAUCGGCUUCGGGAGGGGCUUGCGGCCUAUCAGCUAGUUGGUGGGGUAACGGCCUACCAAGGCGACGACGGGUAGCUGGUCUGAGAGGACGGCCAGCCGGACUGGGACUGANAUACGGCCCAGACUCCUACGGGGGGCAGCAAUUAGGAAUCUUGCGCAAUGGGCGAAAGCCUGACGCAGCGACGCCGCGUGGAGGAGGAAGUCCUUCGGGAUGUAAACUCCUUUUGCCANGGAAGAAACAAAUGACGGUACCUGGUGAAUAAGCCCCGGNUAACUACNUGCCANCAGCCGCGGUAAUACGGGGGGANCAAGCGUUGUUCNGAUUUACUGGGCNUAAAGGGCGCGUAGGCGGCCCCACAAGUCACUUGUGAAAUCUCCGGGCUUAACUCGNAAAGGUCAAGUGAUACUGUANGGCUAGAGUGCGGAAGGGGCAAUCNGAAUUCUCGGUGUAGCGGUUGAAAUGCGUAGAUAUCGAGAGGAACACCUGCCGCNNAAGCGGGUUGCUGGGNCCGACACUGACCCUGAGGCGCGAAANGCCAGGGNAGCAAAACGGGAAUUAGAUACCCCCGGUAGUCCUGGCCUUNAAACGAUGAAAUGCNUUGGUGNCUUGAAUU
rnacentral:rRNA from 1 species